rnacentral:rRNA from 1 species
CAGUCGUACCGGUGGGUAAUCAGCCUUUCGGCGUGAUUAUGUGGAGCGUGAGGAGUUAAACGCCCUCAUGCCUGCAUAUUCGUGUUCUUUGGGUGUACUUACCCGCAUGGUAGGUUAACAUCAAUUUCGAACGUCAUAAAAUGGUUGGAGGAAUGUAGCUCCGAUCUCGUAUUGAAGUGUUAUAGCCUUCGGCAGAUGUGAUGAUCGGAAUUGAGGGAUUGCCACGGAUACCCCUCGGGCUAACCGUCUGAUCUCCUGAAAAGUUACUCUGGGUGGCCGAAAGCUUCGCUUACGGUCAUCAAAGUUUGGACGUUCCAACCAGGUUAGAACGGGGAUUAA